GAUGAACGCUAGCGACAGGCUUAACACAUGCAAGUCGAGGGGCAGCACAGGUAGCAAUACCGGGUGGCGACCGGCGCACGGGUGAGUAACGCGUAUGCAACUUACCUAUCAGAGGGGGAUAACCCGGCGAAAGUCGGACUAAUACCGCAUGAAGCAGGGGUCCCGCAUGGGGAUAUUUGCUAAAGAUUCAUCGCUGAUAGAUAGGCAUGCGUUCCAUUAGGCAGUUGGCGGGGUAACGGCCCACCAAACCGACGAUGGAUAGGGGUUCUGAGAGGAAGGUCCCCCANAUUGGUACUGAGACACGGACCAAAACUCCUACGGGAGGCAGCAGUGAGGAAUAUUGGUCAAUGGGCGUAAGCCUGAACCAGCCAAGUAGCGUGAAGGAUGAAGGUCCUACGGAUUGUAAACUUCUUUUAUACGGGAAUAAAGUUUCCUACGUGUAGGAUUUUGUAUGUACCGUAUGAAUAAGCAUCGGCUAACUCCGUG
rnacentral:rRNA from 1 species